AUCAAUCAGGCACAUAUAUAUUUAUAUCUAUCGCGCCAAAGAGAAAAGAGUCCUAGAGAAUGCUGUCUAUCAUGAACAAUCUCUCCACAAGAGGGAAAAGGAAAGCAUGGCAGGCAAAACAUCCUCCAGAAACUCGAAAGAGAGGAGGGCAAGAAAGAUGCCCUCCAUUUAUGUGGCGCACCCAAGAAAAAACGCAACGUAUCAAAAGUUCCCGGUGUAGAUCAUGCGUUGGAUGGCCG
rnacentral:lncRNA from 1 species